AAGUUACUGAACCUUGAUUCCUAUAGUAGCCGAUGUCAUUCCCUACUCUUCUCACUUCAUGCGCCAAAAAGAAGCACCAACAAAAAUAAGAGGAUGCUCCUCCUUCAACUCAGAAUUUAAUCCAACCUGGUCCUUCUCAUUUACACACUCAAAUCGUGAACUCUCAGGGAGAAAAACAGAAUACUUGAACACAUUCUUCUUUCUAGUUCAGCCGUGUAACCAUUAGCAAGGAGGCUGAAGCUCAACACCCUUUCCCUUCCUCUUGUGCGCACAACCCACUUCAAGUAAGAGAAGGUAAGGUAUUCUUCGCUGCCCUCUAGUUUCCCCUACUUGGAUCGAUUUCUGAUCAAGCCUUUCUUUUGUUGGACCAUGGUUCUGCCUUGUUGGAGUCACUCAUUCCCUGCAUGCAGCUGGUUCCUACGUUUUGGGGCAGUGGAGAGUGAAGUGGUUGCCCUUCACUCGAAUGGAUGACCCUUGGAUGCAGCCAAGAAGUUAAAUUUGAGUCCCAAGCUUUCCCUUCCUUCUCUGUUUCGGUCCCCCUUGCAUGUGCGCAAGAUCCUAGCUCAUUGGACUGUUUGAUCGAUAUUUGGCUGUUUGAUUGAUGCUUGGAUUCACAAGGAGAACUUAGAAGCUUGUGAAGAAGUAUUUGAUGACAUGAUUUCAUGGAACUGUUAUGUUUAAGUUUUGCUGCCUGGGAAAUCCUGCUGUUUAAUUGAUGUUACUGUUGGGUGUAUAUUGUAUGUUCUGUCUUGAUGUAGCCUUUGAGAUUGGCAUUUUAUGAUGUAUAAUUUGUUUUGACAAGAGUUGUGACAUGAUUUUUAUAUUCCGUCUGACU